AUGAACGCUGGCGGCGUGCCUAAUACAUGCAAGUCGAGCGAACAGACGAGGAGCUUGCUCCUCUGACGUUAGCGGCGGACGGGUGAGUAACACGUGGAUAACCUACCUAUAAGACUGGGAUAACUUCGGGAAACCGGAGCUAAUACCGGAUAAUAUAUUGAACCGCAUGGUUCAAUAGUGAAAGACGGUUUUGCUGUCACUUCUAGAUGUAUCCGCGCCGCAUUAGCUAGUUGGUAAGGUAACGGCUUACCAAGGCAACGAUGCGUAGCCGACCUGAGAGGGUGAUCGGCCACACUGGAACUGAGACACGGUCCAGACUCCUACGGGAGGCAGCAGUAGGGAAUCUUCCGCAAUGGGCGAAAGCCUGACGGAGCAACGCCGCGUGAGUGAUGAAGGUCUUCGGAUCGUAAAACUCUGUUAUUAGGGAAGAACAAAUGUGUAAGUAACUAUGCACGUCUUGACGGUACCUAAUCAGAAAGCCACGGCUAACUACGUG
rnacentral:rRNA from 1 species